rnacentral:misc_RNA from 1 species
CUACCCUCAGGCCCCCUCCAGGGCCUGGCGUUGGGGCCUUCUGCGGGCGGUUCGCCGCCCGCAGGCCCUCAAGAACAGUGGCGGGCUCGCCUGUAACCCGAGCGCAGUAGUACAUCUCGCUCAGGGCUCCAGGCGGGUCUCCGGCCGUUAAACCCACCAACUUACAGAAGG